GAAUGUAGCCAAUAAUAUAAAAGGAAACCCAAUAGCAAAGCCUGUAUAGCUCUGCCAAAGAAUUUCUCUGAUGUUGUAAAAUAGUAUUCUUACUCUUAUCAUAAGAUAUUAUUUUUGUUUUUUUUUUCAUAAACAUCGCAUACGAUUUAUUUGAUUUCUUUUUUCUAUUAAAUUUUUGUUGCUAUGAGUGUGAGUGUGUGAUGCUGUUAUCAAAAGACUUGUUAAAAAAAACGAAAGUAAGUUGAUUAUCUUGAUUCCGUUUUUUUCUUAAGCUUUUAAUACGAUUAAAUUACGUUUAAAAAAAAAAAAAAAUUUAA
rnacentral:ribozyme from 1 species